CUGCCACUCCAAGGAUAGCUGACUCAACCACUUCGGAUUUCAGCUGUCACUCCAAAGACAGCUGACUUGACCACUUUGGAACCAUUGAAAAGAGGCCAUCAUUGCCAUGGUCACUGUUGUCAUCAUUGUCAACAGAACAACAAUGCCUGACAACCCACCACUACUGAAGAUCAGUGACUGAACUACGAACCACGCUGGAUCCAUGGUGCUGCCAGGGAAUGCAGCCAGUCUGUCUUACCGCACCUUAAUCACAAACAGAGAAUCAGAACAAGAAUAGACAUUUAACUGGUGGCAAAGGAACGCUCUGAUUUCAUGUAUUCAGUCUGCUUUAAUCUCCAUUGGAUAGAAGAGACAUACUGGCAUUAACCCUAAUCAUGGACCGUUUCCUAAUGCCUGACUUGUGGGAAUAUAAAUGAAGAAGACUGGAUGUUGAAGAUAUUUCAUUUCUAGCCCUGAAAAUGGGUUCUACUCAAAAUAAAAUAUGAAAGAAAGAAUCAUUUUGGAUCAACCGAAAAGGAAGUGGCUUUUCAUGAAGGCAAUGUUUUCGAUGGAAUAAAACAUGAUUUAAUAUA